GUGCUCACUUUGGCAGCACAUACGCUAAAAUUGGAAAGAUACAGAGAAGAUCAGCAUGGUCUCUGCACAAGGAUGACCUGAAAAUCCAUUAACAACACAUGAAAUAU